AGAGUUUGAUCCUGGCUCAGGAUGAACGCUGGCGGCGUGCUUAACACAUGCAAGUCGAACGGUAAGGCCCCCUUCGGGGGGUACACGAGUGGCGAACGGGUGAGUAUCACGUGGGCAACCUGCCCCCCGCUCCGGGAUAACUCAGGGAAACCUGAGCUAAUACCGGAUACUUCGGUCUGAUCGCAUGGUCGGACCGGGAAAGCUCCGGCGGCGAGGGAUGGGCCCGCGGCCCGUUAGUUUGUUGGUGAGGUAAUGGCUCACCAAGACCGCGAUGGGUAGCCGAGCUGAGAGGCUGAUCGGCCACACUGGGACUGAGACACGGCCCAGACUCCUACGGGAGGCAGCAGUGGGGAAUCUUGCGCAAUGGGCGAAAGCCUGACGCAGCAACGCCGCGUGCGGGAUGAAGGCUUUCGGGUCGUAAACCGCUUUCAGCAGGGAUGAAAUUGACAGUACCUGCAGAAGAAGCCCCGGCUAACUACGUGCCAGCAGCCGCGGUGAUACGUAGGGGGCAAGCGUUAUCCGGAUUCAUUGGGCGUAAAGCGCGCGUAGGCGGCUUGUUAAGUCAGGUGUGAAAACCGGGGGCUCAACCCGCGGCGUGCACCUGAAACUGACAGGCUUGAGUCUGGUAGAGGAAAGUGGAAUUCCGAGUGUAGCGGUGAAAUGCGCAGAUAUUCGGAGGAACACCAGUGGCGAAGGCGGCUUUCUGGGCCACGUCUGACGCUGAGGCGCGAAAGCUAGGGGAGCAAACAGGAUUAGAUACCCUGGUAGUCCUAGCCGUAAACGAUGGGCACUAGGUGUGGGGGAUCAUAGACGUCUUCCGUGCCGAAGCUAACGCAUUAAGUGCCCCGCCUGGGGAGUACGGCCGCAAGGCUAAAACUCAAAGGAAUUGACGGGGGCCCGCACAAGCAGCGGAGCAUGUGGCUUAAUUCGACGCAACGCGAAGAACCUUACCAAGGCUUGACAUGCAGGUGAAGCGACGGAGACGUCGUGGCCGAGAGGAGCCUGCACAGGUGGUGCAUGGCUGUCGCCAGCUCGUGUCGUGAGAUGUUGGGUUAAGUCCCGCAACGAGCGCAACCCCUGUCCUAUGUUGCCAUCAUUAAGUUGGGGACUAAUGGGAGACUGCCGGCGUCAAGCCGGAGGAAGGUGGGGAUGACGUCAAGUCAUCAUGCCCCUUAUGUCUUGGGCUGCACACGUGCUACAAUGGUCGGUAC
rnacentral:rRNA from 1 species